CCUACGGGAGGCAGCAGUGGGGAAUAUUGGGCAAUGGGCGCAAGCCUGACCCAGCAACGCCGCGUGAAGGAAGAAGGCUUUCGGGUUGUAAACUUCUUUUAAGAGGGAAGAGCAGAAGACGGUACCUCUUGAAUAAGCCACGGCUAACUACGUGCCAGCAGCCGCGGUAAUACGUAGGUGGCAAGCGUUGUCCGGAUUUACUGGGUGUAAAGGGCGUGCAGCCGGGAAGACAAGUCAGAUGUGAAAUCCCGCGGCUCAACCGCGGAACUGCAUUUGAAACUGUUUUUCUUGAGUACCGGAGAGGUAUGCGGAAUGCGCAGUGUAGCGGUGAAAUGCUUAGAUAUUGCGCAGAACUCCGAUUGCGAAGGCAGCAUACCGGCGGCGAUCUGACGCUGAGGCACGAAAGCGUGGGUAUCGAACAGGAUUAGAUACCCGGGUAGUC
rnacentral:rRNA from 1 species